rnacentral:lncRNA from 1 species
GAGGAAAAGACAUGCUUCUUAAAACGUAUAAUUUCAUAUGUUUUGAAUUUGAGCUAAGAUAAGAGAAGUAAAGGAAAAGAGUAGUUGAUAUUAUUCUUAAAAUCCUCAAUUCCUUUGUUCUAAAUUUGAGCUUUGAUGAGAUCAAAAUGUAUAAAAACUAAGUAGGUGUAUGGCCAUGAAAAUUAAAAAAUUUUGGAGUUGGAAAUG